AUAGGUAAUUAAACAGUUAUUUAAUUAUUUGCAACAAAGUGAUAACAAAAUUAUUUGUAAUUUUUGUGACUCAGAUUGUUUGAUUUUCUGCUCAUAGUUGUUUGCUUGUUUGAAUGUUAAUUUUGAUGGUCCAAAUCGCUUACUAUCCAUAAUGCUAAUUUUAAAUUGCCAGGAAUGUAGAGAUUUCUGGUAACAUUGUUGAAGAACUCUUUUACUUAUUUCUCAUUAUUGUCCUCAAUGCAGGAUAUUAUGCUAAAUCGGAGU
rnacentral:misc_RNA from 1 species